rnacentral:rRNA from 1 species
GACGAACGCUGGCGGCGUGCCUAAUACAUGCGAGUAGAACGCUGAAGGAGGAGCUUGCUUCUCUGGAUGAGUUGCGAACGGGUGAGUAACGCGUAGGUAACCUGCCUGGUAGCGGGGGAUAACUAUUGGAAACGAUAGCUAAUACCGCAUAAUAGUAGAUGUUGCAUGACAUUUACUUAAAAGGUGCAAUUGCAUCACUACCAGAUGGACCUGCGUUGUAUUAGCUAGUUGGUGGGGUAACGGCUCACCAAGGCGACGAUACAUAGCCGACCUGAGAGGGGGAUCGGCCACACUGGGACUGAGACACGGCCCAGACUCCUACGGGAGGCAGCAGUAGGGAAUCUUCGGCAAUGGACGAAAGUCUGACCGAGCAACGCCGCGUGAGUGAAGAAGGUUUUCGGAUCGUAAAGCUCUGUUGUAAGAGAAGAACGAGUGUGAGAGUGGAAAGUUCACACUGUGACGGUAUCUUACCAGAAAGGGACGGCUAACUACGUG